UCUGAAUAAAUAUAGAAGGUCCCGCCUGCCCAGUGACAAAGUUAAACGGCCGCGGUACCCUAACCGUGCAAAGGUAGCGCAAUCACUUGUUCUUUAAAUGAGGACUAGUAUGAACGGCAUCACGAGGAUUAUUCUGUCUCCCCCUUUUAAUCAGUGAAACUGAUCUCCCCGUGAAGAAGCGGGGAUAAACCUAUAAGACGAGAAGACCCUAUGGAGCUUUAAACUUACACCACUUGUCUACACACAAUUCACAAUAAACAGACAAAACUGCGUGCUAGUUUUUGGUUGGGGUGACCGCGGAGCAAAAUAAAACCUCCACAAUGAAAAGACUUCCAAUCUUUAUCUAAGAGCAACAUCUCAAAGAAUUGGUAAACCAACACAACUGACCCAAACAUGCUUUGAUCAACGAAC
rnacentral:rRNA from 1 species